AGCUCCGGGGAGGAGCCGCCCAGCACAGCUUGGAGCUGCCCGGCGGCUGGUGGUUUAAUAAGGAAGGUACUGGGUAAGGUUUGGCUGUGGACCAGGUUGGCACACGGGGUUCCAGCACAGUCCCUUUGGAGAAAUAUUUGCACAAACUAGACGAACCCAGAGGAAUUAUUUGCUUUACAUUGUAAAACACCACAGCUGAAUGUUUCCUUUUAAUUAAACGUAACACUCCAGCAUCCAUUUCCUGGACAGCUGGUCACUCCACUCCGUCCACAGCCCAGAGGACUAGAUCCAUGGCGCCGCUGUCAGGACUCAGACGGGUGCCUGUUGGCUUUGCUACAAGUGUAAGAGGCAAAGGGCGGGAUUUAGAAAGCACGGGACAGAGAUUUGUUUUCCUGUGCUUUCAGCCUGUACAUCCCUGUGUAUGUUUCCUUGGGUUCUUUUGGUUGCAAGAGACAGAAAGCCAGCUUAAAUUGGCUGUCAAAUAGGGGCCUUUGUUGACUCAGGCAACUGGUUGGUCACAGUUGCUCCUCUCUCUCCCUCCCUCCCUCCCUCCCUAUUCCUGUUAUCUAGAACAGCAUGGUAUAGGGCUUGCUCAACCCGACUGCCACACAUUGAUCCCUCACUGACCUGAAGGCCCACAGGGAGCUGGUGCACAAGGGUAGAGGCAGCCCCUCCGUGCUUGUCCCCCGAGAUCGAUCGGGGACCCAGAGGAGAAUGAGAGGGGGAGGUUGGCAGCAAAAACGGGAGGUCUCUCUGGGAGAGCCAGAAGGGGUUCCUCCAGAAAAGUUCCCUGGUCAGGGCCACUCCCCCUUCUGCAACAACCCACAGUCACCCUGUUUCUGUCCAAGGAGCACACUCACAUGGGUGACAGACUCAAACCAGCUGGCUUCCCAGAAGCCUCAGGCCUGUCCAUUGGCAGGAGGCCCGACAACUGCAACCGAAGCCCACAGUGGAAGAGGGCUGUCAGGACACUUCAGUAGAAGUGAGCCUGCACCCUGCCUGCAGCUUAGUGCACUGUGACCAACACCUGGCAUGGACAGGAGACAGACAGUCAGGACCUGUCUUUACAUCCAGCCGACAAGGACAUGUUCCCUUCAGCUCUCUUCCAGGCGAUUUAGCCUGAGCCCAGGCUUCAGUGGUGUUCCCCGAAGCCUUUCUGUCCCAGACAGCAGCUCCUUUAAUGGUAGGGGCACCAUGGGUCAGAGUUCAAGUUGCUGAGUGGGUAGGCCACUCUUUCCCUGACUCCUCUUCAUCCAAAGCCCAUUACAAGACUCAUCUUAUAGCUUUCCCCAUUACACUGGUGGCUGAGGAAUCUGUUUACCUUCCUAAAGGUUUAGCAGCCUGGUAGUGCUACUUGGAAUUAUGGCCUGUGUGUGGGCUUGCACCCACGUGGCUUUGUCCAUCAGGGGUGGAGGUAACCAUGGUCAAGGUGGAACCAUUGUCAUUGGCUCUUUGCACAUCUUCCCAGGAAGAAUAGUGAGAAGCUCUUCUUGUCCCAGCUUUGGGGUGGAUGAAAGCAGCUCUGGGAAGCAGCUCUGGGAGACUCACUGAGAGACUAACACUGACAGACCAUUGUCCACCAUAAGCCACUGGCUUUCCCUCUCUUGGCACUGUCAAUCUGCCCUGGGUAGAGAUCUGAAGCCCCCAGCCGUCAUCCAUGUGUCCACUCCCCUGAGCACCAGCCUUACGUUUGCGUGCGUAAUGCUGAGCCCAGGGCUAAACUCCGAUAGGCAGUGCUGCAGGUCACCAGUUCAGGGUGGGCAACCCCAGAGAUGGGCUGGGGGUGGGGAGCGCCAGUGUGUAUGUCUCCACAAGCUUAUUUUUAGUUGCGUUAUAUAAGUGGCUUCAUCCCGGCGUCAUGGAGGAAGGGGGGGGUCUCAGAUUUAAUUACAGAAUGACAGCCUUUGCAUUUCAAGCAAGCUGUUCUCCUGGCAAGGCAGGCACACGGAUCGGGAGUCUACUCAGCAGAAGCUGCCCUUGGGGAAGUGGCCCCCAGCAGACUGUCAGCCCACCUUCACCUCCAUCCUCUGCCAUUUGCCUAAGGUCUCCAGAGAUGGUGGGAGACCUGUGCCUGUUAAGGGAGCGCUCUCCACCCCCACCCCACCCCUACCUGGCAACUUUUCUUCUCUCUAAGGAAAGGAUCUCCCAAUCAGAACUCUUCUGUUUUCAUCCCCCAACUGAAGCUUUUGUAAUAGGUAACUCUUCUAAUAGGAGAGACAGAAAAGCUCCAGAGCCUGGGCUUCUGGGGCUUCAGGAAAAGCCUUCCGUUUUUCCCUCCACACCCUGGUCGUCCAUGUUAGCUGCUUCCUCCCUGCUUGGCAGAUGUCUGGGCCAGACCCGAGGGCAGAAGGGCAUUCUUGUAUGUCGGGCACACUGCUCUGGUUUCAGGACAGUUUGAAUGGCUGGCCAGCUUGGUGGCUAAAACCUUAUCAGCAAGAAUGUGCUGGGAGGUCCAGGUAGAAGUCUCACUCCUACCAGCAGGAAGGCUCUUUCAGCUGCUGUCAGCCACUUGGGUUUCCUCUGGCCUUCAAGGCAUAGCCUGUCACAGUAGAGGGGGGAUAGGUUGAGACCUGACCUUGGCAGGCUCAGGGUGUAGUGUGAGAAGAAGGCCCUGGUUUAAGGAACCCGUCCUAGUCACUGGUCAGCUUGCAGGCAGAGGCAGAGCAGACAUUAUGUGGUUCUGGGCAGGCUCCCUGACCUCCUUGAGCCCCCAAAGCAGAGGUUAGGGUGCUGAGCAGUAUUGGGAGGAGUCAUGCAGAGCCAUGUGGAGGAAUCACCACACUUUAGAGGCUGGCACUGUCCUGAACAGAGCGCUCUUCCUUCUCAGUCUUCCUUCCCAGCCCAGCAGGGACAGCACAGUUGACUCCUGACCAGUGUCCAGUGUGCUGCCAUGUCCCCAUCAUGACUGAAGGUGGAGAGACCGCAGCCCAGGGAUGCCUGAGGAGACAGGAAGACUGAAGGUCCCCUGACACCCUGCUGCUGGGUCCUGGGCAGGAAGAGGAGGACACUAGGUAGAAUGUGGAGAACUCUGGAUGAACUGUGGACUUUAGUUAAUGAUAUGUCGGCACCAGCACUAGAAUGGUAGUCAGUCCAUCACACUAAGGCAGCAAGCUAACAAUGGUAGCUGGGUGGGCUCAGGGGCAGUCUUCGGAUGUCUGAGGCCCUGGGCCUGUUCCCUGGUACCACUCCAAAGAAGAGGACGUGGAGUGUCUUUGCUCUGAAUGAGGAAAUGUAGAGCGAAGGACCUUGCCGGGCCCCGGGCUACAGGUCAGAGGGUGCUGGGAGCUGCCAUGUCUGCCUUGCCUGUGCAAGCUGAGGUCUAAAGAGCAGAGCAGUUCAGCUCUCUUGCUAUACCAGAGGUGGGUGCUUCCCUGCUUCCUCCCAGGCUGCACCUCAGCUUUACGUGUAACUGGCUCCUCAGCCGCCAUGUGGGUCCUGCUUCCUGCUGUAGGAAGCAGAUUAGCCCAGGGCACCUGGCCAUCUCUUGUGUCUUCUGUUUCCUCUUAAACAUACGGUAUGGCUGGAAAGAAGGGACCAGGAAGGGCACUUGCCUGACGGAUGGAGGUGUGAACAUGGUCUUGUGGUUUUCCAGAGUGUCACCCGACACUGUCCUCUGUCCUCUUCGACACACGGCCUUAAAAAUCCCAUUGGCACUGUGGCCUCCUACAGAGCCUCCCCUACAGGCAGGCCCAGGAAGACAGAGCCUUUGUGCCCGCAUCCUGCCCUGUCGCCCCGGCAGAGGGGAAGCCUCCCCAGCAACCAUCCCCUUAUGUAAUCUGCACAUCACAGCGGCAUGACUCCAGGUGCCUGUGGGAGGUAGCGCGGGGGUGAGUGCAGGGGCGCAAACAAGCCUCGAAGUUUCCUUGGGUGCUUCUCCUCUUGCUACAUUUCAGCACCAUCCUGUGUCUGCCAGCUCGGUCACCCACUUGCCUAUUAGAAUACAUUAACUGACAAUGCAGACUUAAAUAACUUGAGCAGGUGUCAGGCUGCAGUGGAGCCCUCUGCACUGAACCCUUCUGCAGCUGGCCAAGUGAGCUCAGAGGACUAUGGUCCAAGGUUGGUGAUGAGUGCAGUCUGCAGACCAAGCAUACACAAGACCAAACUUAAGAGUGCUGGGAUACAGGUGUCCUCGUCAACAUGGGAAACCCACCCUAUGUCAGGCACACCCAUUCUUUCUGUGCACACCCAGCCUGUGGUGGGGCUGUAAAGACAGCUCUAGCAGCAGAAGCCUAGCACAGGCAGACCUGGCUGUGCCCUCCUGCUCCACCAAGUGUCCUUCGUAGGCCAGAGUGGUCCCUUAGCUUCCCUGGGAAAAGAUGAAAGACAAACUUUGCUUCCUGCUUAUUGUUCUGAUUUGCUUACCCCAAAUAAAACAUCCUUUUUCUUCUUAUUGUUUUGCCUCUUAAUUUUUUUUUUUUUUUUUUUUUUGAGACAGGGUUUCUCUGUGUGGCUUUGGAGGCUGUCCUGGAACUCACUCUAGACCAGGCUGGCGGAUCACAGAGAUCCUCCUGCCUCUGCCUCCCGAGUGCUGGGAUUAAAGGCGUGUUUCACCACCACCCAGCCUGCUCUGCCUCUUAAAUUAAGUUGCCUUGAACAGGUCUAAAGGUGUUUUCAGGUUGUGGCAGAGGAAAUUGUUUUCCAGACCCUGAAGUCAAAAGACACCCAACCCGAGCCGUGCGGUGUUCCUCCAGGUCCUUUCCCACCGCACCGCCGUCCCCAGCUGGUGCUGCCAGAGCAAGAAGCCCAGACACGUACACGCUGCUUCCCAUGCUCGCUCACAGAUGGCUUCCCUGCCCAGGGCUGGCUGGCUGCUGCUAAUUUCGGCUGCUGGAGGCUCCGUGUGCGCUCUCUCUUUUUUUAAUUCUGUGUUUAUUUAAAGCCAGAUUUUGAAAUCUUGUCUUCAACUCUGAAAUCUGAAAUUUUCUUGCAGCAGAUCUCACCCACCCCACCCCCCCAAUACACACACACAGGACACAAAGUAUAGGGAAGCCUGAUGAACAACUGGCCAGGGCCCCUCAUAGCAGAGAGCUCAGGAGAUCCCUUGAAUAUGCUUGGUGUUUCCGUGUAAACAGGGGAAGCCAUGUGGAGUGUCUGAUCAGAGGCCAGAGGCUCGCCUGCUGCCUGGUGCUGCUGCAGGAGGGGCUGGCUGGGAUAGUACUGACUUAUCUUACCCACAGCCCUGCAACCAGGCCUGGUGUGGCCCAGGUAUCCAGGACCCCAGUGCCAAUCCCCCGCCCCCCGCUUUGUCCCUUGGGCUCUCAGAGUGCCCCUUACCCAGGAAAACCACCUAUAGGCUCUUCAUGGUUAGGGCUCUGUAAAGGAUGCCUGUCCAGCUUUCGGGUGUGUUGACACACACUGGGCUGCUCUCAGGCAGGCAGUGCCCAUGUCCUAUCUACCCAGUGUCAUGACACACAGUGGAACUCUGCCCCUGACUCUGGGACCUAGAAGACUAAACCCUGGCACGGGGAACACGUUAGAGACACACAAGGGCUGCACCCAUUGCAGGAAAGGCAACGACCCAUCGGCCCUCCCACAGCUACCCUGGAAUAUGCUAGAGGGGCUCUGGUGAAAAAGGAACCAUCUUGAGGGAACUGGUCAGAGGCUGAGGCAGAACCAGCUCCAGGAGGAAGGAGUGUGCCUAGGGCAGCGGCGGGGGUGGGAGUGGGGGGGCAUGUGAGAUACUGGCCAAGUUCCCUACCCACCUCUGCCUCUUCUCCAGCAGGCCUAGAGAGGGAAGCAUGCCGCUCCCACCCAGAGCCAUCUGCAAGCCCUGCCAGGGCCUGUCUAACACGGACAGUGUGAAGGGCUGGGGUUGUGUUCCCCGGCAUGUCCAGUCAGAGAGGAAGAUGACUGAGAAAAACUAGUGGAGAUCAGGCUUGGGAACGCCAUUUCUCUAGCAGGUCUUCUUCUCUCAGGGUUGGGAGACAGACCUUUGUAGAGGACUGUAAAAAACUAGGUAUCCCCUGUCUGUAUGAAAGGAAUACUCUGUCCCUGCCAGGAAACCAUGGCUCUAAAAGGAUGUGUGUGACAUUUCACCCACUGUCCAACCAAAGCUCAGCUGUGCCACCUUUCCACACGUCACUCUGCAGCCACUGCUGGCAGAAACAUGGAAGCUGCCAAAGCGCCACGGGAUCUGCUAACUCUCACCCUAAUCUGAGGGGGUUUUUCCUGCAGGAACCAACAAAAUCCUCUGCAUAGCUUGAGGAGUUGGCCUUCUGAGCCUCGGAGCUGGUGUUGGUGGGCUCGGUGGUGUUCACCUGCCUGGGCUCUUACUUUCCAAGGAGAAAACCCCACAUUCUGGAUUCCAAAGGCUUAGGCAGGACGCAGGCUCAGGGCUCCAGAAGCCUGAAGUUGAACUGUGGUACGUGGCAGUUUCCUUAGAUGUAUGUGUGUGUGUGUGUGUGUGUGUGUGUGUGUGUGUGUGUGAGAGAGAGAGAGAGAGAGAGAGAGGGAGAGAGAGAGAGAGAGAGAGAGAGAGAGAGACACAGAGAGAGAGAGCACUGUGUCCACACUGUUGACAUUGGAGCAGAUGCAGUAGAGCCUGUGAGUAACUCCUGGGCAUCCAACUUGGCUGCUCUUACCUAGGAUCUCAACCCUUGGGGUUUUAGGAAAGACUGAAGCUUUUGGGCCCCCAUGCAGAGGGCUCUCUUCACUGCCCCCUGGUGGAAAGUCAAAGAAAGGAGCAGGUGAGCACACUGGCAGAAGUUGAAGGCAAGGGUGGGCACCAGAGGAGGCUACCAGCUCACAGGGUUUGGCUACACCUAGGAGGUGAGUGACCCAGGCAGUCACAGACUCUUGGCUUUCUCUGUCUCCUAAGGGAAGACUUACUCUCCCUUCAGGCUGAGGAAGAAAGAAGAAGCUGACAGCUGCUGCUGCUGCAGUGGGCUCUCCUGGAGCCUUCGAUGGACAUGAGGGCAGCUUGUGCACCUAUAAAUUGGUGCUUCUGGGAAAUAGUGUUUGUGCUGUUUUCUAGGGACCCAGUGACAUCUUAAAAUAGAGAGGUAAAAUCGCCUAAAACUAAAAAAAAAAAAAAAACCUCUUAAGGUGUUCAAUUCUGCUCAUUUGAAUGACAGGCAGUGUGCAUGUAUAACCUGUACCCACUACCAUCCGUCUGCCAAGUUCAAAAUCGCUUCAUUCUUUUCCCUUGGAUAUUUUGUUUUUUCUGGUUUGGGUUUUGGCUGGUUGUCUGUCCCUUUGUUUUUGAGAUAGGGACUCAUGGAGCUCCAGUUGAAUGUCCCAGUCCUCCUGACGCCACCUCCCACGCGCUAGGAGUAGGGGAGCUGGGACUGAAGGUGGCCCCGAGCAGCACAGACAGGCGCCUUCCCAGGUGAGCCACGUCCUCUCCCAGAACUGAUGGCUGUGCUAACUGUACUUAAUUUAACUCUGUCCGGGGAUCCAUGAGGCUGCCAGGCCCCUCUUAUCCUCAGCAACACACGUCCCCCUGUUUUUAGACCAUAGCCACCCUGGUGAGCAUGAGUGGGGCCAUUGUUUCUUGACCACUUCCCUGGUGGCCAAUGAGGGGCCUGUCAGCCUCUUCUUCCCCGGGUCUCCUUUGUUGAUUUUAUCCCACUGAGAACCUCAUACGUGAACAUGCAUCUACAUGACCCCUACUGCGCUGGGACCCCCCAGCUCCACCCAUACCCCUCCCACACCCGUGAUCUCUUCUUUAUUAUUGUUGCAUGUAUAUUUAAUGUGUGUGUAUGCAUAUAUGCACACACAUACAAAUAAUCCACUGAGUCCAUUUCACUCUGAGUCUAUGUACGUGUGUCCGGGAUGACCACGUGGGACUGGACAGGAGUCUUCUCUCUCUCUCUCUCUUGUGGUAUUUUUGUUUGUUUACCUUUUUUUCUUUCUUGAGUCUUCUCUUUUUAAGAAGGAACCACAGCCUUCACUCCAGCGCUCCAGUGGGAGGGAGCUGGCAGGUGCCUCGGGACAACCGGCUGUAACUGGCCUCAGCUCAGAGCCCCAGCUCUUGAUGAAGCCUGACAGAUGCACAGUGAGAUAGACAUUGGAGUUGGGUGGGAGCCCCCACCCACUCUUACAGACACUUGUGAGAGCCCAGGUUAGCAGGGACAGGGCCGAGAGGCAGCCUCCAGGGACCAGGUCAUCCGGGGGACUGGGGUGGAGGAGCUGUGUCUUACUCACAGGGUGCUGGGCCGGGUGAGUUCCCCCGACUCACAAGAAUUACAGCUUCUUCCCCGUAGGCUGUGCCUGCUGCACCUGGCAGACCGGAGCCAUGGCGGCUUCAGCAGGAGUGGGCUUAUUAAAGAGUGUCAGGGAGAGACCCAGAAAAAGAGCCGCAGCAACUAGUCCCAGUGAGAGCAGAGCAGCCCCCCACACACACCAUAGCCAUUGCCAGCCCCCGACCUAAUUGUCUCCGUAAGCAAGAGACCCCAGCCUGGCUGGCCUCCAGGGGACCCUGUUGACUCCCACAAGUCAGAGAACAACUUGCCUGAACUGAUUCACCUGAUUCUUUCCUGCCAUUGAGUCCUGAGGGUUGAAUUCAAGGCCUUAGGCCUGACAGCAAGUGCCUCCGCCACUUAACUUUCUCACUGGCCUAGUGGAAAGUUGUGUGUUUGUUUGAGACUGAGUCUCCAUGUGGUUCUGGCUGACCUGGAAGUCACUGUGUAGACCAGGCUGGUCUUGAACUCAGAGAUACACCGGCCUCCCAGUGCUGGAAUUAAAGUUAUCAUGAAAGUGAGCAAGGGUGAUGCCACUCAGGCUGAGCAGCAGGGUGCUGAGCUGGUGUCCUUGCAGAGAAGUCUUUUCCUGCAAAGCUGCAGUGGCCUCUUCAGGGCUGUGACUCAAGCCUCCAUUCCCGAGAAGCCAUCACCUCCUCCCAGCUUUGAGCCCCAGGCAAGUGCUUGGGGGGAAGGGAACGCCUGUGGUCGGCUCCAGCCAGGCCAAAGGAGUUUCCACCUUCCCUCCCAGCUCCAGGACCAGUGAGGCCCCAGGGCCUCUGGCCACACUGAGCCACAGCAGCAGCUUUACUCUUAGGUGACAGGGGUCUGAGUCACCGGCUGUGGGCUUGCGUGACUUGCCACGGCAGAACUUAGAGCAUGCAGCCUUAAGUUUGCGGUUCAGCAUCUGGUCUCAGCUGAAAAUCUCUAUUACCACCACAUCCACUUUCCGCUGUUCCCUCAAAGCCGGUGCCUGCUGGGUGCACAUAGCAUCAGUAGUGAAUGGGCACAUUCCCAGGGCCGGAUUGUCAUGGGAUGGACUUCCAUGUCACCAGGCCGGGGCCCCUACACUGCAGCUUGUGGGCCACUACAGGUCUUUUCAAAUAAAGUUGUGUUUGUUUGUGGUGUU